GCAAAUCCGUGAACAUGAGCUAGGGCCUUCUUUUCAUGGAUUUCAUAAAUACUCUUAUUUAUCAUUAAUAAUACCAUUCAUCUUCUUUUCAUGAGUUUCAUAAAUAUCUUAUUUACCAUUAAUAAUCCCCUUCACCUUUUAAAGGAAAUUUAAAGAGAGAGGAGAGAACAGACUGGAUCGAAAUUUUUCCCGAAACAUUUCAGAUGGAGGUGAAAUCGUCAUCAAAUUCUAUGUACAAAUCGUUAGCAGCAGCAGAAAUCAUUGUUUUUUUUUUCAUCUUCAUCUUGUUUUUCUUUUUAAUUUAAAGAUUUGGUCUCCAAAUCAGAUUCAAGAGAGAUUGAUUUUCCGAGAUUUGAUUUUUAUGUUUUCGAAAUUUUAAUUCCGAGUUGAAGAUUCAGAUAUAUAUAUAUAUAUAUAUAUAUAAGAUUUUCAUGUUCGAUUCAAUUUACAAUGAUGUCUUCAUACCAAUUCCGUUUACAAAGAUUUUUGGAAGUUUGGUUUUGUUUUGAUUCUACUAUAUUUCUUUAUUUUUUCGAUAUAAUUAAGCUCGAGAUUGUCGAUUCAUCUAUGAAACAGUUGUCAUUGAGUUAGAUGGUAUUCAUUAAACACUAACUUGAAAAGCAAAGGUGAACCAUGAGCUGAGCACCACCAGGAUGCGUAAACAAGUAGUUGAAACAAAGUAUUUUUCGGCAUGAUUACAACACCAGGCGGGUUUGUGUGGAAGCAGCAAAACAAGUGGUUAUUUUUAUUGCUAGUAGUAUUAACUGUGAGUAAUUAUCUCUUACUCUUAUGCCAUUGUGAUUGCACAUAACUUAGUGGUACUUUAUUAUUGCAAAAUGCCUUGUCUGACUAAUGUUCUUUCAUCCUGGUUGGUUGAAAAGUGACAGGGUUAGGGCAGUGUUAGUUACGUUUUAGAUUAUUGAUUGAGAUUUUUUCCUGAUACAUCUUGUUGCUUUUCACCCUUUUGUAUGCAACUAUUAGUAUAUAAUAUAGAACAUUGAAAUAGUUGUAUUAAACGAACUUGUGGUGUAAUGGUAUCACAAUUGACUCCAGUCAAAAGAUGCGUGUUCGAUUCACGUCA